AAGGGAGACCUAAUUCAGGUAGGAGACGAAAAAAAAGUAGUCCCAACCAAGAAUCAAUCCCAAAAGGUCGGAGCGAGGCGAAAUUGGCUUUCAAACUAGGUUCUGGGUUCACACAAGACCUGAAUCAGGAACAAGGGCUAUUAGCUCAGGUGGUUAGAGCGCACCCCUGAUAAGGGUGAGGUCCCUGGUUCGAGUCCAGGAUGGCCCACCUGCGCAGGUGGCAAAAACAAGAGAAGCGAGGAAUCAGCACCUUAUCUUAUCUAUAUAUAUAUAGGAGAGAAUGCUGGCUCUGAGUAAAGAGUCCAGAGGAACCUUGAAAACUGCAUAGAGCUAGGUGAAAAAGCCAAAAAAGAAGACCGCAA
rnacentral:tRNA from 1 species